GCCAGAUGUAUAGACAGACACAAAUACACACAAAAACCAGUGUACGCCUUUUUCCACACGUAUACUGGUAUUUAGAGGAAAAAGUGGGUCGAAAAUGUUCUUAACUACCUCACAAAUACUUUGUGUACACAGAAUCAUCCAUAUUAAUAUGCUGAAUUUUACAAAUCACAAACUGCAUUGUAAAUAAUUGAGUGUGUACUAAAUUCUCUCAAGCCAUUUUGUAUUUUACUGUUGUUUAGUGCAUGAAGCUCAUGCUUUUUCUUUUUUUUUAACCUCUAGCAGGGGACUUUGUUCUCAGCCUGCAGAGUUGAGAGCUCUUUCUACAAAUUGCGCUAUGUAUCCUAUAGAAAAAUCCGUGUGCAUAUUUCUAACUUUUUGUAUGCACAAUAUUAGCUCAAAAAGAAUUUUGGAAAGACUCCAAAACUGCAUAAAACGAUAGGAAUAUUUUCACAUGAAUGGUGUGCAGGGGUAUACAUCGUACUUAUUCCCGUUGCAGAUCAAAAGCUCUCCGAUGCAGACUGUUUGGAUUUGGAGACCACAGCUGCACACGGAUUUAGAAAUCUGAGAUACAAAAUGAAUGAAUAAACCCACUUUUUAAAUAUUUUCAGUUAUAAAAUAUUAAGCUGGGAAUAUCUGUGUUUUUCGUUUUGUCAGUCAAUGCCAUCUCUUAAUUAUUUUUUUUUUUACUUUUCUCCUGUCUGCGUCACACAAAUCUUUAAAAAUGGGUCACUGUCAAAUAGUUGCAUUUGUAUAAGUAAGAACAGCUAGGAACCUUUUUUUUUUUUUAAAAGAUGUUAUUUAAAUAGGAGAAAAACAAGUGCACUGGUUAGGGACUACUUUUGGUUGCUUAUUAAUGCAUAUUUGGUGCAUUUGAGGAUUUUGCAGCAUGAGGGAUUGACUUGGAAUAAACUAUAAUGCCCAAGGACAGAAUGAGUGUUAUGCAGUGCAACAACAGAGUUCACACAAGUGCUCUUACAAGUGGGGCUUUUAGCUGCGUCGGCUAUGCAGGUAAAAGUUACUACUGGUUUCUUUCUUUCUUUUUUGUGUCAAUAAGACAAAUUUUGUCUUCACCCUUACUCAUUUAUGUGUUUGGUCAUCCAAACUGGAGGUAUAUAUGCAUAGACAUAACCCAAAUUCCAAAGGAUUUCAUCUUCAAAGCAUAUGAAACAGUUAACAGAGAAAUAAUCAACUUAAAUUCUGACAUUCAAAACUCUCAUUGGAUUUGGAAUUAUUUUUCUAUCCCAUGAGCACAAAAUGUGCGAGUUUAGUCAAGUAAUUUGUAUGCAAGAGGACACAUAUGCUGAACAGUAUGGAUUUUUCCCCUUCUCACCUCCGCCACGAGUCUCACAGGACAUCUCACAGCCCUUUGUUGGAUUCUUUUAAUUUUCUGUUCAUCGCUUGUGACCCCAUAUCUCAG
ensembl:lncRNA